CAGCUCAAAGAGAGAAGAUAAGUGAAGCUAAUCAAGGCUCCAAACAAGGACGGCAGCUGCAGUGUCAGAAAAUGCCAUAGUUCUGAGUUUUAAAUCGAGGGUUUAAAGCAGAACAGCAGCUAUAGUGUCAAAGCUCCAGAGUUUAAACUCAAGAGUCAUUACUGGAUACUUACUAGCAGGAUCUGCCAUUGGACCCAGAGGCUUGAAUUUUGGCCUUGGAUUACAAGUUGUGAAAUAUUUGGCUGCCAAAUAUGAAGAGCUAGGGUGUGAAGUGAAAUGGAUGGGCAAGCCUGAUAAGGUGAUCUAGUCACAUUGGUUUGGUUACCGCUGUUAACUUCACUUCAUGUGAACCUUUAGCUUAAUACAUAUUUCUCUUGCACUUGACUACCAAGAUGAAUUUUGAGCAAGGCUACUUUUUGCUUUGAAGCAAAGUUUGGUGUAGAAAUUUUGUAGAUUGUUGCUCAUAUGUUUCUAGGCUAUCCUUUGUAGGUUUUGGGGUUUUCUUUUGUGACAUAUGUUCAAUCAUGAAUUUGGAAAGAAAAUUAAUGGAAAGCCCCAAUUUUUGGAUGA